rnacentral:rRNA from 1 species
UACGUAGGGUGCGAGCGUUAAUCGGAAUUACUGGGCGUAAAGCGUGCGCAGGCGGUUUUGUAAGCCAGAUGUGAAAUCCCCGGGCUCAACCUGGGAAUGGCAUUUGGGACUGCAAGGCUGGAGUGCGGCAGAGGAGACUGGAAUUCCUGGUGUAGCAGUGAAUGCGUAGAAUAUCAGGAGGAACACCGAUGGCGAAGGCAGGUCUCUGGGCUGACACUGACGCUCAUGCACGAAAGCGUGGGGAG